GACGAACGCUGGCGGCGUGCUUAACACAUGCAAGUCGAACGGUAAGGCCCUUCGGGGUACACGAGUGGCGAACGGGUGAGUAACACGUGGGUGAUCUGCCCUGCACUUCGGGAUAAGCCUGGGAAACUGGGUCUAAUACCGGAUAGGACCACUGCCUGCAUGGGUGGUGGUGGAAAGCUUUUGCGGUGUGGGAUGGGCCCGCGGCCUAUCAGCUUGUUGGUGGGGUGAUGGCCUACCAAGGCGACGACGGGUAGCCGGCCUGAGAGGGUGAACGGCCACAGUGGGCCUGGGAUACGGCCCAGACUCCUACGGGAGGCAGCAGUGGGGAAUAUUGCACAAUGGGGGCAAGCCUGAUGCAGCGACGCCGCGUGAGGGAUGACGGCCUUCGGGUUGUAAACCUCUUUCAGCACCGACGAAGCGCAAGUGACGGUAGGUGCAGAAGAAGGACCGGCCAACUACGUGCCAGCAGCCGCCGUAA
rnacentral:rRNA from 1 species